AGUUUGAUCCUGGCUCAGAACAAACGCUGGCGGCGUGUCUUAAGCAUGCAAGUUGAGCGGCAAGGAGGAGAGAUCCUCCCUAGAGCAGCGGACUGGUGAGUAACGCGUGGGUAAUCUAUCUUAGGCAUGGGGAUAGUCACUAGAAAUAGUGGGUAAUACCGAAUAAGUUCCAUAAGGGGAGGACUUAUGGAAGAAAGGUGCUACGGCACUGGCCUUAGGUGAGCUCGCGUCCCAUUAGCUAGUUGGUGAGGUAAAGGCCCACCAAGGCGAUGAUGGGUAGCCGGCCUGAGAGGGUGUACGGCCACACUGGGACUGAGAUACGGCCCAGACUCCUACGGGAGGCAGCAGCUAAGAAUAUUCCGCAAUGGACGGAAGUCUGACGGAGCGACGCCGCGUGGAUGAAGAAGGCCGAAAGGUUGUAAAGUUCUUUUGCUAGGGGAGAAUAAGUGUGGGAGGGAAUGCCUGCACGAUGACAAGGACUAGCGAAUAAGUCCCGGCCAAACUACGUGCC
rnacentral:rRNA from 1 species